CGACCGCCAGCCGGCCGGCUGUUCCCGCGCCAGUGGCACGAGCGCGGCGGCGCUGGGCUGAAUGCAGGGCUAAUUAACCGGAGCAAUGCAGCUGUGCUCACAUCAGGCCCAAGCAACAGCAAUUAAAGAGAGAGCAGCAGCGGCGGCAGCAGCAGCAGCAAACUGUCAUCCUUCACUCACAACACCUCGACUGAGCCGAUGGCACGUUAUUAACAGUUAAACAAGUUCAAAUUCACGACCAGAGAAUCCAUGACGAGAGUUUCACACAUUUACGGGUGGGUGGGAUUACUCUAACCCCAAUUAAAGCAUACUCUGAAAAAACCUUUGCUGAAAUAUGUUCAAAGAAUUCCUUCGUUCUGAUACUUAUUGAUCUGAUUUGCUUCCAGGAAGAAACUAAAGUAAUUAUUCUAAACGCUGUCCGCUUUUGCGAAAAAUAAAGCAUUUAUACCAUUCCAGAUAUUCAUAAAACAGAGCAGAAGUGUCUAUGUCCAGAAGCCAGAUUACAUUCUUGCCGGAGAGCGCGUGAAACUAUCAUUGCUUGAAAAAAAAGGUUCACUUUCAACUAAAAUCUACAGGAUUUGAAACAAAUUUCUCAUGAAAUGUAUCUCCCCAUUCUUCAUUACCACACUCAAAGGACACAAUGCUUUCCAAUCCAGCAUAUGUGUAAGGCUCCAUUUUUUUCUGGCUAGAAAAUAACUUUCCAAAAUAAUGAUGCAGCGGGACUCCAUACUGAUUCAAUGUCAUAGCUAUGCCCGUAAAGUACAAAUACAGAACAUAAGGUCCUUGGGUAUUGUUAUACCUACUUGAAACCAUUAUCAUCCUGUCCACUACCAAGAUCAAUUUAAUUAAAGACUGAUUCAAAAUUUCAGAACAUCAAACAUAAUAGAAGUGAAACCAUCUGUGGGAAGUCUAAGAUGUCCCCGUAGGUUAAAAUUGGCAUCUCACGUUAGAAUGGUUCAUGUCACUAUGUUUUAAUGGGCAACAAACAUUUGCCAAUAUAUAAACUCUAGCACAGGGGUCAUGUAGUGCAAAGGUAAUGCCUCUACAUUUGGACCAGAGGUCCAGUUCUAAUACCCAGCUGACAUGAAAAAAGGACAGAACAUCUCCAAACAGGUUGUUUUUCUUUUAAUUCUCCUAUUAUGUUCACCUUACGCAAAUCCACUGUAGUAUGAUACCAAUCGGGUUCUUCAAAUUAAACAAGAUUUUCUGGACCCUUCAGAAGAUAUUUUACAUUUUUUCGUCUAUUCUAUGUUUGUCUUUUUAUAACAUCUGAGGGCAAGGCGAAGGGAAGGGAUGGGGUCUAUCUCUAUCAGAAAGUUCGUGUAAUUAAAAAAAAAAUGUUGAAUAUACGAUUAUGUUUAUCUUCUUGUCUCCAAACAAAAUACAAAACUUUGAUUUUUAAAUCAAAAUAUGCAAAUCCAUCCUCACCACAGUAUCCAAAACAGUCUUUAAAGGCAAAGUAUCUGAAUUAUAAAUUCGAUAACCAAGUCUCUAGCUGACAAUACAAAAUAAAAAUAUUACUAUUACAUUCGAGUUUUUAAUGCCGUACUAAAUAGACAUCAAAACAAUGCCCCCAUCCCACCGCUCAUUUACUGGAAACUUUAAAAUUAUUUAUCUUCUUAUAGGAAUUUGUGGAAAUAUCAAAACUAAAUUUAGGGCAGAUAUUUGUAGACUGCAUUUUUUUUUCGUGUGCUGACAUUUAGUACUGACCCAGUAGGGAAACAAUGCCACCAUUCAUAGCACUAGACGUAGAUUUCAAUCGACUUAAGCGGGCACAAUGAGAUGUGGUCAUUCAAUGGUUACCCAUAUUGUGUUCUCAAAUUUUCUCUCAGCCAAAGUAUAAUGACUCGGUAUUGUAUGGGUGCUUAGACAAGGGCUCCAAACAAGAGACACUAGUUUUGUCUGACGGUGUGAGAAAGUCGUGAAGGGAUCCUUUCUUCCAGAUGGUGUUAAAUUCAGCUGCCUUUUUAACAUUGGCCUUGCACAGCAAUCUGCUGCUCCCUUGCCACAAAAGAGGAUCUCUGGUUCCCACUAGUUAACAUGCACACUCACGCAGACUUCAAAUUUCCUCCAACUUGUUUUCACUGGGUAUUGAUAUAUGUAUUUGUAGACUGCGUUCUAAAAUACAGAUGUAACACCACAUUGUAUUUUGUCAACUCUGUUCUGGAAAACUUAUAUUGCUUUGACUAUGUUCCAGAAAUUAUAACCAUAAGUCACUUAGUAACAAUAAUCUAAACAAUUUUAUGGAUAAAUUACUCUAACGAACCCUUGUAUAUUUCUUUUGUGUGUUUCAAUAGUUGAAGGCCAUUGUUUCUCAUUGCAGUAAGCCCAGUUACAAAACAGCUGUUCAUUAAAAUAUUCUUCCUAAAAUAUUUACGUAAAAGCAAAGCACUGAGAGUGAACUGUUCACUAACAGUGAACAUUCUUCACUGAGAAGAAACUUGCAGAGACCAUUGUUAUGCCUAACAUCAGAAUUCAAUCGUUUUCAAUUUAGCAGUAAAUGCUUUGAAACACACCAACCGUUUGGACGAACAUUUAAGAGUGCAAUUUCCCAUGUCACCUUAUUGUUUAGACGGAAUCUUCCUUAUUCUCAAAAGGAAAGAAAUGUGUACUUUGUAAUGCUAAUUUUUUAAAACAAACAGGCUUUAGGUUAACAGCAGUUAGUGGUUACAGCACCAUUGAAUCAUACAGUAAACACCACACUCAUUUACACUUUUACAAUGCAAACGUUGUUUGUCCUAAACAAUGAAUUUAAGCAAACAGGCAAGUGUCACGGAUGGCUAUUACAGUAAUAAAGGUUAAGCAGGCGUGUGCCAGACUGCUCGCCACUAAACAACAUCUAACGGGAAUUGAGUAAAUAAAAGACAGUAGCAAGGUUCAUAGCUUGCCAGUCCCCAAACCCGGUUAGCCUGUUGGGAUACAAUAGGCUGCUAUUAAGUGAAACUAUUGUCCACUUGGUAAGAUUACACUCCUUAAGUUCCAGGGGCCAGAAUAUACGGUGAUCCCAGGAGGGAGGGCACAAGCUGACGUGCUGAGGGAUGUGGGUGGGAAAUGCCAUCACAUUUGUUUUAGAGAUAGAGAGCUGCACUUGACAGUUUCUCGCUCCUCCAUAGCCCACCAACAACCCCCACCCCCAAUCCAGCUGCCUGUCAGCGGUUGGGCUCGGGCACGACAUUGCCACUCGUUCCCCCCUCCCCCGCCCCCGAGCGUGGGAAGCGGAGCGGCCAGCCGUUCACAUCUCCUGAACUCCGUUUAACGGAAGCAAUUAGGCGCAAGCUGCAGACUCUACUCUCUCCCCAUCCCCAGCCCCCGCCCUUUCACGCCUGCACACGUCCUAAUUAUUUUAGUUUGGGAUGCCAGCGCUGUUUCCUGGAUAUAUCCGAUAAUGCUGAAAAAAGAAACAAAAAGUGGCCACGUGGGUAGUCAUCAGGACGACGUGCUUUCGUAUCCUUCAUUAAAUGUCAGUUUAAUUUCCAAGGCUAGACGCAGAGUAAGACACUUUUGUUUUUUUUACAGUUUGACAAGAGGGAGGUUCCCGCCGCGUCUUUCUGCUUUAUUGCCUUCCUCAAGGAAACCGAGCUGGAAGAGCAAACCUUCUUUGCUUUCUGAAUUUUAAAAUAAUAACGAUCAGAUCUACACCUAGCGAUUGAAACUCGGCUGUCCUCUAUUCCGUCGCCUAUAUGUUUAUUUACGUAAACACUUUUGGCGAGCCGAUUAAAACGUAUUUGGCUUUCUUUCUUGGGGAGACAUGUGACUACAAACGUUCCCAUGAAUGCAUCUUAUACAAGUUCUGCCACAUGUUCCAGAGUAAAAUGCUCGCCUGGUGAUAUUUUCACAACCGAUCGACUAAAAUCUCCCCCGAGACCUCUUCCGAUUUAAAACUUUUAAUCCCAUUCGCUUUCCCAAUUCUAAGAAACCCUCCGACUUUCACGCAGCGAGAUAUCCAAAUAAAUACUGGAGAGGUGAUUCUUAAAUCGAAAACAAUUUCCAUUUUCUCUAGGACAGUUUAAUAUUUCAGGUACAAAGUUGAGACACCAGUUUCAGUCAUAUUCUUUUUAACAACUAUGCAAGUCUAAUUAUUGCAAAACGUUCAGACCAUGCGUACCAGAGGGCACUUAUUUAACCCUUGCGUUGGAGUUAACUUGCAUCCACUAAUACUUCCGUCACCAUCAGCACGAAUACCUUUAUUAAGGAUUUUUUAUAUUGAUACUGUAGACAUACCACCGGUUUAACUUUCUAAGUGUUUAGCACCCGACGAUAUUUAAGGGGGGCGGUUGGGGGGUAGGAUGUACGAUUCCAUGAUUCAUCCUUUUCUCGGAAGCGCCACGAAGAUCCUAGAAGCAGUUUUUACUUUCGGUUAUCUAGCUUUAUGACGGUCAAAUACACUCAUACAGCUAGAUAACCAAAGAUAACAACUAACUUCCUCAAUCCUUGCGUUUGCGGAUGCCUUCCACUCUCUUUACACUCGCAGUACCUGAAGUCUGCAAUAGAUCUCGCCAUGUUCACAUUCUCAACCUUUUUUUUCCCCACAUAAAUUACUUCUCGGCCCAGAGAUACUCAUCUGCUCACUGGCACUGAGAGGGUGCAUCGUCCCUCGAAGUUUUUGGUCAACUUCCACAGAACUUAAUAUUCAACAUUAGCACUCCAGGUAUUAAUAUCAAGAGGACGGGUGGGGGGUAAAAGCAACCCCAUCGGCGGUUUAGUCUCGAUAUGAUCUGGACAGAGUUAAGAGUGAGGUGCAUCUAUCCGUCCACAGGCCUCUAUUUGCAUUGUAAAUCGCUUCAUUCUCACAAAGACUGCAUGAAGACGUUGAGCCCACAGCACUUAUCCAAAGCGGCCACAUCGCGUCAAUGUUUUCUCUUGGCUAAUUCCGUGGUGGAAACGGGCACAGCGAGCCGGGAGAGCGGGCAAUGCGGUCGCCCCCCUCAGCUGCUGCCGAUCCCGAUCUGUUCUAAUGGCAGCGGCGGGCGGUUGCUGAGAGAUUUGGAGAGCGGUUUCCCCCCCCGUCAGAGCUGGCGGAGCUGGGAAAGCUAGGAGCUGCCGCACCAUUGCCGCUGCUACCAGGGGUCUGAAGACGGAUCAGGGCCAUCAUUGGGAUUGCGGUGCCGAAAUCUGGACCAACCCGGCGAGGUCAAAGGUCCCGGACCGCGGGAGACCAAGGUUUCCAGAUGGAUUCAGCGACACUGUAUGGCAUGGAUCUGAACUACCCUCGUGAUCUUAAAAUAAUAUAGCGACUACAUAUGUUAAUAUUCAGUUUUCAUAAUUGGCGGCGAAUGUACGCAUGCACGUGAGCUUUGUGUGAUACACUGCAGGGGAUACAUAGACUUAUAUUCGACAUUUUGCCGCCCUAAUUCUGGAUUAGAUAAAUGGAUGUAAUUAAAGGGAACAGUACUUAGUCAUUC